AGUGGGAGCGAUGUACUACAUAAAUGGUUUGUAGCCUGACCAGCUUGACUGUCCUGUGCAGAGUGAUAGGUAGUUGGGGCAUCUUCAGGAUGUAUCGAAUUCUGUUGUGUAUUUAUUGUCUACAGGCAAAUAUUGUGUUACAUAUUAUGCUUGCAAAUAUGGUGGAAUUGCCUGACCUGGUGUAUUGAGUCUGGGCUGGGUGAUCCAAGCUGCAUAAUCUACACAUGUCAAUACUGCUGGUACGUAUCAAUACAUUGGCAAAAUGAAAUGUAAUUGUACUUGAUUGUCAGGUACUUGAUUUUCAGAAAAUGAUUGAUAUGACUGGCUUUGGUUUUGCAGAGAAAUGAGAGCUUCAGUGGCUACCAAAUUGUUUUUUUUGUGUAGACUUUGAAUCUGAAGUGGAGAAAGAACGUCUGGUUGCUUGCUCAGAUUGAAGUAUAUAUAUACCUCCUUUGAUUUCACGGAUAAGAAAUCCAAUGUCUUGGCCAAGGCUCUCUUGCACUUUUUUGGAACACAAUGGCAGGUAAUUAGCACUAUAGGAAUUGGCGGGAUUUUGACAUCUACCUCUUUUGAAGUAUCUGGACAUGUCUCUGUCAUAUUUUGGAUGACCGCUCUGUAUCUACUCCCGCUGUGGAUUGCAGUGACUAUGCUGCCUGGCUGUAGUUUGACCGCGUAAUCAUCAUCCACGGGGGUCAACUUGGAAGAUGUUACCUGCGCGGUGAUACCGUCUUCCCAGAGAAUAUCAAAGACAUCUAAAAGAGGUGUAAGUUAGAUUGGCAGCGAGCUCACACUCUCGAGAGGUGCUGGAGCACGCUCAGUCAAGUGUAUCUAGUAGCAGCUGCGCGGUAUCUUUAAACACAUACAGUUCUUGUAGAGUUUCCUCCAUUCUUUGGUAGUAGUCGGAAGGAGCAGAGCGCUGACGUCUAGACGUGUGCCAAAAUGUUCACGGC